rnacentral:sRNA from 1 species
GUGAAUAAAGCAAAAGUCACUAAGUGACCUCACCAUCCUGCCGUGUGUUCAACUGUGCUCUACCACAAUGGAUGCCCCCUGCAAGUCUGCGCACACUAAAUCUGCCUGCACUGUGCACUCACAUUGGUGAUGACGAAGCCGGUAAAUGUCACCGAGGGACUCUGAACAUACUUGGUGUCUCUCAGCCCAGGAGAAGUGGCUUAGAGUCCUCAGUGCCAGCAAACUGUCACCCGCCCCUAAUGUUUUAUGGGCCUUUUAAAAGGCUGACACGGAGUUAUCUCUCCAGAGAAGACCUGCCUGUUCUGUACAUGCAGAGGUGUCCCUCAGCAGGUGUCAACGUACACAUUAGCAGGUCCUGUCUGUGGCACUGAGAUGGAUACGCCGAAGAUGUGACUGCAUAUUCUCCAAGGCUCUAAGACAUUGCAGUAAUCUAACACAGAUCUGUCUGUUCACUGUUCCUGAGACUUUAGAUCGCUCCAGAAAAAUACCAUUGAAAAGCAGGUAAUUAGCUUUGAGCAGGUUGACAUCAGUAAGGGGGUAUUCAAGAGGGUCAAAGAGAAGGGACUUAGAACCGAACAAACGGUGUCAGGCGUAUGGUGGUGCAUGCCUGUGCCCUUUGGCCAAUGGAGGGGCCUCAUGGGUGGUUGAAGAAAUGGGAGAGGUGUGCCUGAGUCUGGCAAAUGCUGAGCACAGCGGGGCUGUCUGAAGCUCCUGCAGAGGGACAGCACUUCUUCUGGAGCAGCCUCAGCUAUUUGCCCUGUGUGGCUCCCCAUUCCCUCGGGGGUGCAGAAACAACAGUGAGAGCUGCUGCGCAGUCCUUGGAGGAUACUUUACAGUCAACCAUCACAUUUACAAAUUGCCUUUUUAAAAACUCAGAUUAUAUUGAUUUUACCAUACGGUCUGUCUCCCGUUGUGACCCAAUUUGAUAAAUAUUCCAGUUCACCACCGUCUCUUCGUCCUCAGGGCCAACACCCUACUCCAGGGUGCUGUUGCCUCCUGAGUCACUAACCUUUUCCUCUCUGGAGAUUUUACAGCCUAUUCAUCAAUGUAAACCAGCCAAAACAACCUUAAAAAUUGUAAAUCAGAUCAUGAUAGUCUCCUACCUAAAUGGCUGCCCAGAACUUUUUUUUCAAUCCAAAGUUCUCACACUGAUUUAGGAAGCCCAUCAUAAAAUAACUCUUUCUAACCAUUCUGAUCAUAUUGACCACUCUCCUCCCAGGACUGUGUCCCAACUGCCCUGUUAGUCUCUAGUCACACAGACACUCGGAUUUUCUCCUUCUUGAUUGUUGAAUGGUCAACUCUUCUAUGGUCAAAAUAUCAGUUUAACCGUGACCUCCAGUCACUUUCCAUGACAACUGAUUCCAGUGUUCUAUGUAACUUUCCACCUCCUUCACCUGCCUAUUCUAUCUGCCUACCUAUCAUUUAUCUAUCUGCUUAUUAUAUAUCUAGCCAUCUCAUCCUAGAUCAAUCCUAUAUCACCCCCCCCACACACACAUAAGAAGAAAAGCUCUAUUUGAACACAAGCUUGUGUCUUUUGUUCUGUAUUGCAUCUCCCAUUAGAUCACAUGGUACUUGACACUUACAGCAUGGAUAAAGCAAUGAAGAGAUGAGAGGACUCAUGAGGGGACAGAGAGUGACCCAUGCUUCCAGAGAGACUGAAGCAAGAAAAAUAGAAUGGCUAGGGUGCCAGAACUUGAUAUUUGGUGGGACCAGAUGAAAUCCAUUUUGGGGAUGGAUUCCAGAAUUGUGCUGAAGUUAGAAUUCUACAUCUAAUAUUCUCCCCCACUCUCUUUCUUCCCUCCAAUCCCCACUGUGUUUGUGCAUGUGUGCCUGCCUUAUGUGACUUAUUUGAAAGUCUGAUGAUGCUAAUAAACACUUGCUUAGAAAAAAUGUUUUUAAUGCACAAAAUAAAAUAUCUAAAAUACAAA